UACAGAGGUCUCAAGCGUUGUUCGGAUUCAUUGGGCGCAAAGGGUGCGUAGGCGGCGCGGUAAGUCGGGUGUGAAAUCUCGGAGCUUAACUCCGAAACUGCAUUCGAUACUGCCGUGCUUGAGGACUGGAGAGGAGACUGGAAUUUACGGUGUAGCGGUGAAAUGCGUAGAUAUCGUAAGGAAGACCAGUGGCGAAGGCGGGUCUCUGGACAGUUCCUGACGCUGAGGCACGAAGGUCAGGGGAGCAAACGGG
rnacentral:rRNA from 1 species